rnacentral:tRNA from 1 species
AGCCCGGUAGUGUAGGCAACUUCAGAGUAGUUACCUUUGAGUUUGUACAAUGGUCAAUCAUCCGGGGCUUUGGACCCCGGGACCGCGGUUCGAAUCCGCGCCGGGCUACCA